AUGCAGCAUGCCGCGUGUGUGAGAGGCUCUUCGGAUCUGUAAGCACUUUUGUCUGGGAGGAAAGGUACCAUAUUAUACGAUGGUACCUUGACGGUACCUGACCAAAAAGCCCCGGCUA
rnacentral:rRNA from 1 species